CUCUCCUAAAAUUCGUUCAAGGCCAAACACCACCAACAUCACUUUCAUUUCAAUAUUCAAACUCAAGAACACAUGCUCAUAUGGAAGUUCAUGGAUGAAACAAGAUACUAGGGAGUUUAGUAAAGCUAUUUGGAGCAUUUUUGGUGGAACUAGAAGCCCUAGAUCAUCAAGAUUUUUCUUAUCUUCAUCCUUAUUUCCUAGCAAAAAUUGUCGAGAAACGAACCGCGAACAAGGAAUCGAAUAGAGAUUUGCACGGAACGCGAAUCUGAGAUUAGUGGACGGCUUUGGAAAAAUAUGUUCAAGUGGUUAUCAAGAACGCAAGCUUUUGUGAUGUCAUCCGUUUUCGAUUGUUAUGUUUUGAACUUUGAAUAAUGUAGUUAAAGUUGGUGUUGUUUCAAGUUUCAAACAAGACAUAUGUAAUGUAAACUAUGGUUUCGAAUCAAAUGUAUGGAUGAACAUCUUUUAUGUUUCAAAUAUGUUGUUUACU